AGUGAACGCUGGCGGUAGGCCUAACACAUGCAAGUCGAACGGCAGCACAGAGGAGCUUGCUCCUUGGGUGGCGAGUGGCGGACGGGUGAGGAAUACAUCGGAAUCUACUCUGUCGUGGGGGAUAACGUAGGGAAACUUACGCUAAUACCGCAUACGACCUACGGGUGAAAGCAGGGGACCUUCGGGCCUUGCGCGAUUGAAUGAGCCGAUGUCGGAUUAGCUAGUUGGCGGGGUAAAGGCCCACCAAGGCGACGAUCCGUAGCUGGUCUGAGAGGAUGAUCAGCCACACUGGAACUGAGACACGGUCCAGACUCCUACGGGAGGAAGCAGUGGGGAAUAUUGGACAAUGGGCGCAAGCCUGAUCCAGCCAUACCGCGUGGGUGAAGAAGGCCUUCGGGUUGUAAAGCCCUUUUGUUGGGAAAGAAAUCCAGCUGGCUAAUACCCGGUUGGGAUGACGGUACCCAAAGAAUAAGCACCGGCUAACUUCGUGCCAGCCGCCGUAAAAC
rnacentral:rRNA from 1 species